AGAGUUUGAUCAUGGCUCAGAUUGAACGCUGGCGGCAGGCCUAACACAUGCAAGUCGAGCGGUAGCACAGAGAGCUUGCUCUCGGGUGACGAGCGGCGGACGGGUGAGUAAUGUCUGGGAAACUGCCUGAUGGAGGGGGAUAACUACUGGAAACGGUAGCUAAUACCGCAUAACGUCGCAAGACCAAAGUGGGGGACCUUCGGGCCUCAUGCCAUCAGAUGUGCCCAGAUGGGAUUAGCUAGUAGGUGGGGUAAUGGCUCACCUAGGCGACGAUCCCUAGCUGGUCUGAGAGGAUGACCAGCCACACUGGAACUGAGACACGGUCCAGACUCCUACGGGAGGCAGCAGUGGGGAAUAUUGCACAAUGGGCGCAAGCCUGAUGCAGCCAUGCCGCGUGUGUGAAGAAGGCCUUCGGGUUGUAAAGCACUUUCAGCGGGGAGGAAGGCGUUAAGGUUAAUAACCUCAUCGAUUGACGUUACCCGCAGAAGAAGCACCGGCUAACUCCGUGCCAGCAGCCGCGGUAAUACGGAGGGUGCAAGCGUUAAUCGGAAUUACUGGGCGUAAAGCGCACGCAGGCGGUCUGUCAAGUCGGAUGUGAAAUCCCCGGGCUCAACCUGGGAACUGCAUUCGAAACUGGCAGGCUAGAGUCUUGUAGAGGGGGGUAGAAUUCCAGGUGUAGCGGUGAAAUGCGUAGAGAUCUGGAGGAAUACCGGUGGCGAAGGCGGCCCCCUGGACAAAGACUGACGCUCAGGUGCGAAAGCGUGGGGAGCAAACAGGAUUAGAUACCCUGGUAGUCCACGCCGUAAACGAUGUCGAUUUGGAGGUUGUGCCCUUGAGGCGUGGCUUCCGGAGCUAACGCGUUAAAUCGACCGCCUGGGGAGUACGGCCGCAAGGUUAAAACUCAAAUGAAUUGACGGGGGCCCGCACAAGCGGUGGAGCAUGUGGUUUAAUUCGAUGCAACGCGAAGAACCUUACCUGGUCUUGACAUCCACAGAACUUAGCAGAGAUGCUUUGGUGCCUUCGGGAACUGUGAGACAGGUGCUGCAUGGCUGUCGUCAGCUCGUGUUGUGAAAUGUUGGGUUAAGUCCCGCAACGAGCGCAACCCUUAUCCUUUGUUGCCAGCGGUUAGGCCGGGAACUCAAAGGAGACUGCCAGUGAUAAACUGGAGGAAGGUGGGGAUGACGUCAAGUCAUCAUGGCCCUUACGACCAGGGCUACACACGUGCUACAAUGGCAUAUACAAAGAGAAGCGACCUCGCGAGAGCAAGCGGACCUCAUAAAGUAUGUCGUAGUCCGGAUUGGAGUCUGCAACUCGACUCCAUGAAGUCGGAAUCGCUAGUAAUCGUAGAUCAGAAUGCUACGGUGAAUACGUUCCCGGGCCUUGUACACACCGCCCGUCACACCAUGGGAGUGGGUUGCAAAAGAAGUAGGUAGCUUAACCUUCGGGAGGGCGCUUACCACUUUGUGAUUCAUGACUGGGGUGAAGUCGUAACAAGGUAACCGUAGGGGAACCUGCGGUUGGAUCACCU
rnacentral:rRNA from 1 species